CACCGUGAGGUGGAAUCUGAAAGAAGAUGGAGGAAAAACUCUGGUCCGAGGAACACGAAUCGUAUCAGGCAUAUAGCAGGGAUGAGUGUGCAAAACAACACGAAGUCAUAAGAGGUUGCGGAAUAGCACUGAUAUGUGUAAAUAUGGCUGAUAUAUGGAGCGAAAGAGA
rnacentral:ncRNA from 1 species